rnacentral:rRNA from 1 species
GAUGAACGCUGGCGGCGUGCCUAACACAUGCAAGUCGAGCGACCACACGAGGAGCUCGCUCCCUUGCCGUUAGCGGCGGACGGGCGAGUAACACGUACGUCACCUACCUCUACGACUGGGAUAACUUCGGGCAACCGCAGCCACUACCGCAUCAUACUUCCAACCGCCUGGUUCGAUAGUGCAACAUGCCUUUCCCCUCACCUAUAGCCGGACCCGCGCCGGAUUAGCUAGUUGGUAAGGUAACGGCUUACCAAGGCGACGAUACGUAGCCGACCUGAGAGGGUGAUCGGCCACACUGGAACUGAGACACGGUCCAGACUCCUACGGGAGGCAGCAGUGGGGAAUCUUGGGCAAUGGGCGAAAGCCUGACGGAGCAACGCCGCGUGGGUGAUGAAGGUCUUCGGGUCGUAAAGCUCUGUUAUUGGGGAAGAACAGACGUGGAUGUAACUGUGGACGUCUUGACGGUACCUAAUGAGAAAGCCACGGCUAACUACGUG